AGAGUUUGAUCAUGGCUCAGAUUGAACGCUGGCGGUAUGCCUUACACAUGCAAGUCGAACGGUAGAGGGGCAACCCUUGAGAGUGGCGAACGGGUGAGUAAUACAUCGGAACGUGCCCAGUCGUGGGGGAUAACGUAGCGAAAGCUACGCUAAUACCGCAUACGACCCGAGGGUGAAAGCGGGGGACUCGCAAGAGCCUCGCGCGAUUGGAGCGGCCGAUGGCAGAUUAGGUAGUUGGUGGGGUAAAGGCCCACCAAGCCUGCGAUCUGUAGCUGGUCUGAGAGGACGACCAGCCACACUGGGACUGAGACACGGCCCAGACUCCUACGGGAGGCAGCAGUGGGGAAUUUUGGACAAUGGGCGAAAGCCUGAUCCAGCCAUACCGCGUGCGGGAAGAAGGCCUUCGGGUUGUAAACCGCUUUUGUCAGGGAAGAAAUCCUUUGGGUUAAUACCUCGGAGGGAUGACGGUACCUGAAGAAUAAGCACCGGCUAACUACGUGCCAGCAGCCGCGGUAAUACGUAGGGUG
rnacentral:rRNA from 1 species